AAAAUUUUAGUUUAAGCAAAUUAAAAUGGUUCAUUUACAUUGAACGGAUUAAUAAUAAAUUUAUGUAUUAAAAUUUUA
rnacentral:tRNA from 1 species